CUUGCUGGGAAUAAUGAGAAGUAUAGAGGCAGGUGUUUAGGUGGCUGAGGUUGCCAGGGCUACGCGGCUUGUCUUCCAUGACCGAUCAGCACAGUGAGAAAAAGCAGGGACAUGAUGUCCUGGCUUACUGCACAAGAAUCAUUCUAGAAGGGCAAAGCAACGAACAGGAGAACAUUUCUUUCUUUCAUGAAACCAUUCGGUGCCAGACACUCUGGAAGAUCAGCAUGCCUGUUGCUAGCUAUUGGUGUCCAAAACACUUCAGUCAGUGCAGUGAGAAGGUUGAGUGACAACCCCUUCCUAGUAUACCACUUUUGAACAGGACAGUGUGGAACAGCUCGGUAUGGUGAUCAGUUUGAUUCCUUGUCCUACUUGUACUCUGCACUGAAAGAGGAAAGCCGAGCACACUCAGAAUGUUCCAGCAAAGCCUUUUCCAAAAAGAGCUCUGACUACUUUACUGCACAAAGAAGGAAGGGAAAAAAAGGAAAGUGAACUGAAUUCCUCUACUGCCUCUUUUUGAUGUGCAGCCAUGUACAGAAAUCUGCAUUUAUAAACUGUUAUCUGUCCAAUACAUUGAAUUUGAGCUGUGUUUUAUGAAGCAUGCAAUAGUAAUUAAAGUGAUCUUUUG
ensembl:lncRNA